GUCCCGUUACCUCAGAUGGAUAGAGGACCCGCCUCCUAAGCGGGCUGCCGGCAGUUCGAAUCUGCCACGGGACGCCA
rnacentral:tRNA from 1 species